rnacentral:rRNA from 1 species
CCCUUUAGAUGUUCUGGGCUGCACGCGCGUUACAAUGAAGAUAUCAACGGGUUUGUGGCGAUGCAAAUUUGAAUGUUUGCAUGGUCGAUUCCUUUUUCGAAUGAAAUGGGUAAACCUUGGCAACCAUCUUCGUGCUGGGGAUUGAUGAUUGUAAUUUUUCAUCAUGAACGAGGAAUACCUAGUAGGCACAAUUCAUCAAAUUGUACCGACUCUGUCUCUGUCCUUUGUACACACCGCCCGUCGCUCCUACCGAUGAAUGAUCCGAUGAGAAUUUGGGAUUUGCUUUUUUCUUUGUUGAAGAGUGGAAAACUUAUUCAAAUCUUGUCAUUUAGAGGAAGGAGAAGUCGUAACA